ensembl:lncRNA
GUUCCCUCUUCUCUUCAGCCAAGGGGGACAUCUGUCUGUCUAUCUGACAAUGUCUGUCAGUGUGUCUGUCUGUCUCAGGUAGCCCUCAUCCAUCAUCACAUUCCAACACUGUCCAGUCCAGACCUUCAGGACCAUCUCAGUGCAUCAGGAGGAAAGUAACAGAUAGGAUAGGACAACCUUCCCCAACACCAUCCAAACAACAGCCCUUUCAUAUGGAGGAAACAGAAACACCAGCCUUCUACUGCCUUCUGUGGAGUUACAAACACUCAGAACCCUAGAUCACUCAGAACCCUAGAACACUCAGAACCCUAGAUCACUCAGAACCCUAGAACACUCCGAACCAUAGAACACUCCGAACCAUAGAACACUCAGAACCCUAGAUCACUCAGAACCCUAGAACACUCCGAACCAUAGAACACUCCGAACCAUAGAACAUUCAGAACCAUAGAACACUCAGAACCUUAGAACACUCAGAACCUUAGAACACUCAGAACCCUAGAUCACUCAGAACCCUAGAACACUCAGAACCAUAGAACACUCAGAACCAUAGAACACUCAGACAGCAUAGAAACAACUCAAUACUCUAAACAUCAUAUCUUAAACAUCGAUUUGGCAGAGAGAGAAAUGGUGAGGAGGAGGAAGUCUGUUCUGUGGCUCAGAAUGAAUUCAUGUAAAAUGUCUGUCUGACUGAAGGGAAGCUAUUCACUGUGACACACAAUGUCAAUGUCUGACUGGAGGGAAAGUACUCACUGUGACACACAAUGUCAAUGUCUGACUGGAGGGAAACUAUUCACUGUGACACACAUCUUUGUUUACUGCAUUCUUCUGAUAUAUCUUCUGAAGGGAGGACGAGAGCAACACUUUUCUUUGACUUUUGGCAGUUUGUUUUGAUGUUGUUGCAAACACUGGUUCACUGUGACGAGUUGAUGAGCAAUACACUGACUGAGAGAAACAGACCUGUAGAUAUUAUCAUGCAACUGACUGAUCACUGACAUUAAAUACAAAGAGGUGUGUGUGAGUUUGUGUGUGUGUGUACUUGUGUGUGUCAACCUGUGUGUGUAUGUACGUUUUAAACUGUGCGUGUGUGUGUG